rnacentral:lncRNA from 9 species
UUUUUUUUUUUUUUUUUUGCCACCCCACCCCAUAUGGAGUUCCUGGGCUAAAGAUCAGAUCUGAGCCACAGUUACAACGUGCAACGCUGAUCUGGGUUGGGGAUCAAACCUGCGUCCCAGUGAAUUUGGCUAUUAUGAAUAAUGCUUCUAUGAAUAUUUUCACAUAACGAUCUGCCAGUAUCAUACUGUCUUAAUUACUGUAGCUUUGUAGGAAGUUUUUGAAUUGGGAAGUGUAAGCCCUCAAACUUGUACUUUUUCAAGAUUGUUUUGACUAUUCUGAGUCCUUUGCAUUUGCAGAUGAAUCUUAGGACCACUUUGUUCAUUUCUGCUACAAAGGAUGGUGCAAUUUUUUUUUUUUUGGUCUUUUUAGGGCCUCACCCAUGGCAUAUGGAGGUUCCCAGGCUAGGGGUCGAAUGAGAGCUGUAGCCUCUGGCCUACACCAUAGCCAUAGCAACUUGGGAUCCGAGCUGCAUCUGUGACCUACACCGCAGUUCACGGCAAUGCAGGAUCCUUAACCCACUGAGCGAGGCCAGGGAUCCAACCCUCAACCUCAUGGAUUCUAGUCGGGUUCACGGCAAUGCAGGAUCCUUAACCCACUGAGCGAGGCCAGGGAUCCAACCCUCAACCUCAUGGAUUCUAGUCGGGUUCGUUACUGCUGAGCCACAACCGGAACUCCCUGACAUGUAAGGACUAAGAUGGGAAGAGAGAGUAGGAGCUUGAUAGGAAAAGGGGUAGAGAAGGGGAAAGAUGUGGGCAGAGGAAGGAGACCUGGGAAAACCUAGAGUGAAACAAAGCAAAGCACAGCAUAUUCAAGGAACUGAAAAAAGCAGAAAUGAGGUUGGAAAGGCCGGCGCGGGCAGGAUGGACUCAGUGGGGUCGGGGGGACUGGCCUUUAUCUGGAAGCCCUGGAAGGACGGUGGGGAGGCCUGUGGGGGGUGGGCUUCCUCAGGUUCCCUGACCAGAAGAGGCCACCAGACAGAAGGGAUGGAGGACACUGUUGUGUGAACUUGAGAAACAGUGGCAACUUGGACUUGGGUACUGGGGACACUGGGGACGGAGUGAAGUGGACUAUGUGUUUGGAAGAAAUCUGGAGGACAGACUUAACAGCGCUUGGUGUCGGGGAAGGGGAGGGAAGGGGAGGAUACCAUGGAUAAUCUUCCAACUUGGUGGAUGGAGAGGCCCUUUGCAGGAUAAAAAAAUGAAACCAGCCUUCUCACUCUGACCAGUGCAGCCCUGUCACCUUGGAAACAACUUCCAUUUCUUCCUCUGUGAGGAAAAACUUGAGAACUGUCCAGGGGUGUCCCUGUCCCCGAGGUGGCCCAGCACCUGACGCUGAGGAAUUGAAGCUCCAGUGCCCUGGCCUCCCCCUCCAGACUCUUCUCCUCCCUUCCCCAGAUCCGACCUCUCCCUUCUUCUAAUUAUGCCCCAAGUUAUCUUUUAAGGUUCUGUACAUGACAUGGGGUGGGCUCCCAAGUUAGAAGAACCAACUGGACAGCCACUGAUUAUCUCAAUAGUUGAGCUCCCUCCAACCCAAAGGCACAACCACUUACCUCUCCCUCUAGGGCCCCCGGUUCUCAAGGCCCCAAAUCUUGCUUUGUGUCAUGAAGACUUUUUCCCUUGGGGGAGGAGUGGGGGUUUGAUCAGACAAGAGCCUGUGUAUCAGCCCACUGCAUUUUAGUCGAGAUAUGGAUCUGGGCAGCUGUUCAGUGAAUAAGCCAGCAGCCUGAGAUGGGAUGGCAUGGUUCAUCUUACCGGGUCACCCUGCCCAGACACAAGGCGCUGGGGGGCAGGGGGGCGGGCACGGAAAGAUGGCAGAGCCAAAAGAAAAGCUUCUAGAUUAAACAGAGAUCAAAAUCCCAGCACAACAAAGGGACAUCUCUGCGGUCAACCUCCUAGUGUUCUCUGCCUACAGUACUGGGUCAGCGUCAGCAGGGAGCCCACAGCCACCCGGGCACCUCCACAACAUGGACCCCAUUCUGUGCAGGGGCUGGUGCUGGCCACGUUGGUGGUAACAUGCGCUCUCUUAAGCACUGGAUGCAUCCGACUACAUGGGAACCUCACCACCUCCUGUAAAGAGUGCGGGGGGGUGCUAUUUGCCCAUGUUCCACACUAGGAAGUGUGCAAGUCUGCACAAGCAUCACUGGACUCUGUCCACCUGGGAAAGGCCUGCAAUACCACAGCCUGGUGCAUUCCCAGGUAGAGUCCAUCCUGCUGGGCCGUUCAGCAGAGGCUUCUCUUUAGGCCCACUGUCCUCCAGGACAUACCUCCUGAGCCCCUGCCAUCCUGGGUCUGUCUCCUCACCCACAGCACCGCCAGGCUGCACCCACACCCCCAACCCUAGAAUGAGGGAGCCACUUGUGGGCAUCACUUUGCCCUGAUCUCAUUUUGUCACCUCCUCCAUAGCUCAAGGGGAACGACAAAUCACAGGGUUUUCAAAAAAUAUGGCCUUUUAUUGUCUUGGAUGCAAAUAUAGUUUUCAAACUGCAUUGUAGUGUUGAAUACAGCUGGUGGAAAGGUGCUUCUCAACAGCGGAGCAUAAACGGCCUUGCUCUGGAUGGCGCAGGCCUGAGGCUUGGGGCCUCCGGUGAGCAAGACUCUUCUUGGGUUUUGUUUUUCUGCCCACGAGGGGUGACUGUUUGCUACAGAAGCCCUGACACAGUCACCGGAGCUCACAAGAGAAAAAAAUGAACCAUUUACACAAUGAACUGAAAGCAGAAAAAGGAAAAGAACGUGCUGUUUCAGCUGUGGCGUUACAGAAGAAGCCCACAAACACGAGUGUGAACAGAUUCAGAUAAAGCAGCAGCAAGGGCGCCGAGGGAGGGGCCUCGUGCCAGUUCCCUCGGGGACACACAGCCUCGGCUCCAUGUCUCCUACCUUUUAACUGCAGGAAGGAAACUUUAUGGAAAUGUAUCGAACUUCAGUUUCUCCCAACCCUCUCCACCACCUCAACUCUUGAGGAUGGCACCUCUCUGUUCACAUACCCAGGAGAGAAUUCUUCCAAUUAGCGACACCCAGGGUUGACUCUGGAACCAAAAGGUUGACUGGGAGAUAAAAGCGAAUUUUGCUACAUAAUUGUCAAGGUAUUUCACAAAAAUAAAAUCCAUUAAAAACACCCACAAACACGCACACACACACACACACACAGAGCCAACAUUCAACAGGAAAAGUUCCCUUUUCUUUCUCAAAGGCUGAUUUUUACAAGCCUCGACAGGAACGGCCCCCACGUGGUGAGCUGGGAAAGCCAAGGCCUCAGAAGGGAAAGACAAUGGGGCAGGUGAUGGAGGGGGUGUGGGCGCAGCUGGGGGUUCUGGGGCCUGUCUCUGCUCCCAGAGCCCCUCCGCUCCCCAAACCUGCCUGCCCAGCAGGUCAAGGUGAUGGAAACCACGGAAACACGCGUGUUGAAGGUCCAAACUCCUCUACCCCUGCUCUCCUCUCCUGCUGUCUAUGUUCAGAUGUGGUGAAAAUCUUUAAUAUACAAGGCAUCAGGGACAUCGAGCCAAAAACCAUGGCCCACCACUGCUGCGCACCCACCUCAGGGCUCGCCAGCUCCCUUCCUCGUUGUCAAGGCCACUGCAGAGGAAGCACUUUGCAAAGUGGCUCCGACAAGCAGCAGACCGGGCGGGUUUCACCUGCAGCAAAUCAAUCAGCGGAAGCAAGGCAUCUCUAGGGAAAGGCAAUUCCUCCACCAGAGAGAGGAGAGCAGCUAUACUCAGCUUAGUUAGGGGCCUGGGGCCGUGAGAGAGACAAAAGACGCAGGCAGAGCUAGAUGACCAUGGGAGGGGAAGAGCAUAGGGGUGCUGUGCCAAGGCUGCCCA